UACAGAGGGUGCAAGCGUUGUUCGGAAUUAUUGGGCGUAAAGGGCGCGUAGGUGGCGCGGUAAGUCACCUGUGAAAUCUCCCGGCUUAACAGGGAGCCUGCAGGCGAAACUGCCGUGCUGGAGUAUGGGAGAGGUGCGUGGAGUUCCCGGUGUAGCGGUGAAAUGCGUAGAUAUCGGGAGGAACACCUGUGGCGAAAGCGGCGCACUGGACCAUAACUGACGCUGAUGCGCGAAAGCUAGGGGAG
rnacentral:rRNA from 1 species